AUUGAACGCUGGCGGAAUGCUUUACACAUGCAAGUCGAACGGCAGCACGGACUUCGGUCUGGUGGCGAGUGGCGAACGGGUGAGUAAUAUAUCGGAACGUGCCCAGUCGUGGGGGAUAACGUAGUGAAAAUUACGCUAAUACCGCAUACGCUCUAUGAAUGAAAGCGGGGGAUCGCAAGACCUCGCGCGAUUGGAGCGGCGGAUAUCAGAUUAGGUAGUUGGUGAGGUAAAGGCUCACCAAGCCAACGAUCUGUAGCUGGUCUGAGAGGACGACCAGCCACACUGGAACUGAGACACGGUCCAGACUCCUACGGGAGGCAGCAGUGGGGAAUUUUGGACAAUGGACGCAAGUCUGAUCCAGCCAUUCCGCGUGCAGGACGAAGGCCUUCGGGUUGUAAACUGCUUUUGUACGGAACGAAAAGGUCUCUAUUAAUACUAGGGCUCAUGACGGUACCGUAAGAAUAAGCACCGGCUAACUACGUGCCAGCAGCCGCGGUAA
rnacentral:rRNA from 1 species